rnacentral:rRNA from 1 species
GGGAGGUGGCAAGCGUUGCUCGGAUUUACUGGGUGUAAAGGGCACGUAGGCGGUCCUGCAAGCCCUGCCUGAAAGGCACUGGCUUAACCAGUGCACGCGGCGGGGAACUGCAGGACUGGAGGACGGGAGAGGCGAGCGGAAUUCCCGGUGUAAGGGUGAAAUCUGUAGAUAUCGGGAGGAACACCAGUGGCGAAGGCGGCUCGCUGGCCCGUUUCUGACGCUGAGGUGCGAAAGCUAGGGGAGCGAACAGGAUUAGAUACCCUGGUAGUCCUAGCCGUAAACGAUGGACACUGGGUGUCAGCCCCGUUAGGGGUCGGUGCCGUAGGUAACCCGCUAAGUGUCCCACCUGAGGAGUACGGCCGCAAGGUUG